AUGAUCUUAUAACCCACUUGCUGGGAUUCAAUUAGCUUGUACUUAUGAGAAUGAUUGAGCUCCAUUAACAUGAUAUGAGCUCUAUGUUAAUGUUAUCACAUAGAAGUAAGGCUAAAUACUCCUGGGUGACCGAUAGCGAAGUAGUACCGUGAGGGAAAGGUGAAAAGAACCCCCAUCGGGGAGUGAAAUAGAACAUGAAACCGUAAGCUC
rnacentral:ncRNA from 1 species